rnacentral:rRNA from 1 species
AACGAACGCUGGCGGCAGGCUUAACACAUGCAAGUCGAGCGCCCCGCAAGGGGAGCGGCAGACGGGUGAGUAACGCGUGGGAACGUACCCUUUGCUACGGAAUAGCUCCGGGAAACUGGAAUUAAUACCGUAUGUGCCCUACGGGGGAAAGAUUUAUCGGCAAAGGAUCGGCCCGCGUUGGAUUAGCUAGUUGGUGGGGUAAUGGCCUACCAAGGCGACGAUCCAUAGCUGGUCUGAGAGGAUGAUCAGCCACAUUGGGACUGAGACACGGCCCAAACUCCUACGGGAGGCAGCAGUGGGGAAUAUUGGACAAUGGGCGCAAGCCUGAUCCAGCCAUGCCGCGUGAGUGAUGAAGGCGUUAGGGUUGUAAAGCUCUUUCACCGGAGAAGAUAAUGACGGUAUCCGGAGAAGAAGCCCCGGCUAACUUCGUGUCAGCCGCCGCAGUAACAC